rnacentral:rRNA from 1 species
UGGGGAAUCUUGCGCAAUGGGCGGAAGCCUGACGCAGCAACGCCGCGUGGGGGAUGACGGCUUUCGGGUUGUAAACCCCUUUCGGCAGGGACGACUCUAGACGGUACCUGUAGAAGAAGCCCCGGCCAACUACGUGCCAGCAGCCGCGGUAAUACGUAGGGGGCGAGCGUUGUCCGGAUUCAUUGGGCGUAAAGAGCUCGUAGGCGGCUUGCUAAGUCGGGUGUGAAACCCCCGAGCUCAACUCGGGGUCGCCAUCUGAUACUGGUAUGGCUGGAGUCCGGUAGGGGACCAUGGAAUUCCUGGUGUAGCGGUGAAAUGCGCAGAUAUCAGGAGGAACACCGAUGGCGAAGGCAGUGGUCUGGGCCGGUACUGACGCUGAGGAGCGAAAGCGUGGGGAGCGAAC